rnacentral:rRNA from 1 species
CAGACGGGUGAGUAACGCGUGGGAAUCUACCCAACCCUACGGAAUAGCUCCGGGAAACUGGAAUUAAUACCGUAUACGCCCUUCGGGGGAAAGAUUUAUCGGGGAUGGAUGAGCCCGCGUUGGAUUAUCUAGUUGGUGGGGAAAAGGCCUACCAAGGCGACGAUCCAUAGCUGGUCUGACAGGAUGAUCACCCACAUUGGGACUGAGACACGGCCCAAACUCCUACGGGAGGCAGCAGUGGGGAAUAUUGGACAAUGGGCGCAAGCCUGAUCCAGCCAUGCCGCGUGAGUGAUGAAGGCCUUAGGGUUGUAAAGCUCUUUCAACGGUGAAGAUAAUGACGGUAGCCGUAUAAGAAGCCCCGGCUAACUUCGUGCCAGCAGCCGCGGUAAUACGAAGGGGGCUAGCGUUGUUCGGAAUUACUGGGCGUAAAGCGCACGUAGGCGGAUAUUUAAGUCAGGGGUGAAAUCCCAGAGCUCAACUCUGGAACUGCCUUUGAUACUGGGUAUCUUGAGUAUGGAAGAGGUAAGUGGAAUUCCGAGUGUAGAGGUGAAAUUCGUAGAUAUUCGGAGGAACACCAGUGGCGAAGGCGGCUUACUGGUCCAUUACUGACGCUGAGGUGCGAAAGCGUGGGGAGCAAACAGGAUUAGAUAC